rnacentral:rRNA from 1 species
UCAGGAUGAACGCUGGCGGCGUGCUUAACACAUGCAAGUCGAACGAUGAUCCGGUGCUUGCACCGGGGAUUAGUGGCGAACGGGUGAGUAACACGUGAGUAACCUGCCCUUGACUCUGGGAUAAGCCUGGGAAACUGGGUCUAAUACCGGAUAUGACUUCUCAUCGCAUGGUGGGGGGUGGAAAGCUUUUUGUGGUUUUGGAUGGACUCGCGGCCUAUCAGCUUGUUGGUGGGGUAAUGGCCUACCAAGGCGACGACGGGUAGCCGGCCUGAGAGGGUGACCGGCCACACUGGGACUGAGACACGGCCCAGACUCCUACGGGAGGCAGCAGUGGGGAAUAUUGCACAAUGGGCGAAAGCCUGAUGCAGCGACGCCGCGUGAGGGAUGACGGCCUUCGGGUUGUAAACCUCUUUCAGUAGGGAAGAAGCCCUUCGGGGUGACGGUACUUGCAGAAGAAGCGCCGGCUAACUACGUGCCAGCAGCCGCGGUAAUACGUAGGGCGCAAGCGUUAUCCGGAAUUAUUGGGCGUAAAGAGCUCGUAGGCGGUUUGUCGCGUCUGCUGUGAAAGACCGGGGCUCAACUCCGGUUCUGCAGUGGGUACGGGCAGACUAGAGUGCAGUAGGGGAGACUGGAAUUCCUGGUGUAGCGGUGAAAUGCGCAUAUAUCAUGAGGAACACCGAUGGCGAAGGCAGGUCUCUGGGCUGUAACUGACGCUGAGGAGCGAAAGCAUGGGGAGCGAACAGGAUUACAUACCCCUGGUAGUCCAUGCCCGUACACCCUUGGGCACUAUGCUGUGGAGGGACAUUCCCACCGUUUCUUGCUCGCCCGUAACCUAACGCCAUUAA